rnacentral:rRNA from 1 species
CCUACGGGAGGCUGCAGUAAGGGAUAUUGGUCAAUGGGGGAAACCCUGAACCAGCAACGCCGCGUGAGGGAAGACGGUUUUCGGAUUGUAAACCUCUGUCCUCUGUGAAGAUGAUGACGGUAGCAGAGGAGGAAGCUCCGGCUAACUACGUGCCAGCAGCCGCGGUAAUACGUAGGGAGCGAGCGUUGUCCGGAUUUAUUGGGUUUAAAGGGUGCGUAGGCGGACAGUCAAGUCAGCGGUAAAAAUGCGGUGCUCAACGCCGUACAGCCGUUGAAACUGGCAGUCUUGAGUGGGCGAGAAGUAUGCGGAAUGCGUGGUGUAGCGGUGAAAUGCAUAGAUAUCACGCAGAACUCCGAUUGCGAAGGCAGCAUACCGGCGCCCUACUGACGCUGAGGCACGAAAGCGUGGGUAUCGAACAGGAUUAGAUACCCGGGUAGUC